rnacentral:rRNA from 1 species
UCGAGCGGGGGCCAUCUGGUGGCAACACCAGGGAAGCCCGAGCGGCGAACGGGUGAGUAACACGUGAGGAACCUGCCCCGGAGACCGGGAUAACAGCUGGAAACGGCUGCUAAUACCGGAUGCCAUCACCAGACCGCAUGAUCAGGUGAUGAAAUGGAUUCCGCUCCGGGAGGGCCUCGCGGCCUAUCAGCUAGUUGGUGGGGUAACGGCCUACCAAGGCGUCGACGGGUAGCUGGUCUGAGAGGACGAUCAGCCACACUGGGACUGAGACACGGCCCAGACUCCUACGGGAGGCAGCAGUGGGGAAUCUUGCGCAAUGGGCGAAAGCCUGACGCAGCAACGCCGCGUGCGGGAUGAAGGCCUUCGGGUUGUAAACCGCUUUCAGCAGGGACGAAAUUGACGGUACCUGCAGAAGAAGCCCCGGCCAACUACGUGCCAGCAGCCGCG